CGAAUAAGUGAAUAAAGAGAGCUGUCCGUCGACAGUCCAGAAACUAUUUAAUAUCACUGUCAUGGAAUUGCUCUCUUUGUAUAAUAUUCG